rnacentral:rRNA from 1 species
UACGUAGGGUGCAAGCGUUGUCCGGAAUUAUUGGGCGUAAAGAGCUCGUAGGCGGUUUGUCACGUCGGCCGUGAAAACUCGGGGCUCAACCCCGAGCCUGCGGUCGAUACGGGCAGACUAGAGUGCUGUAGGGGAGACUGGAAUUCCUGGUGUAGCGGUGAAAUGCGCAGAUAUCAGGAGGAACACCGGUGGCGAAGGCGGGUCUCUGGGCAGUAACUGACGCUGAGGCGCGAAAGCGUGGGGGAGCAAACAGG